rnacentral:misc_RNA from 1 species
GUUCAACUUAUCACUUGAGCUUGGAACAUAAAGAUAUUUUCAUAAACUCUUUGGAGUAUGUUUUUUGUGUGUGUGUGUGUAUAAUGCAUCUUAUCAUCCAUUUCAAAUUUAUAGCUUAAUGAAGCUUGACAACAUAAUUUUUUGAAAAUUAAAAAUACUUAUUUAUUCUUUAUGUAGUUUAUUUAAUAUGAAAGAAUAUUAAAGAAAACUAAUGAUACUUAUUUAUAUCUUCAGUGUAUAUAAUUAAAGAUAUUUUCAAAAUUUUGAUUUGUUAAAAAUAUAAUUACCCAUUUUUAUCAUUAAUAACAUAUCCUAUUUACAUAUUUAUGGCCCAAUUUUUUAUUAUGUUAUAUUU